rnacentral:rRNA from 1 species
AUUGAACGCUGGCGGCAUGCCUUACACAUGCAAGUCGAACGGUAACGGGCCUUCGGGUGCCGACGAGUGGCGAACGGGUGAGUAAUACAUCGGAACGUGCCCGAUUUUGGGGGAUAACGAGGCGAAAGCUUUGCUAAUACCGCAUACGAUCUACGGAUGAAAGCAGGGGACCGCAAGGCCUUGCGCGGACGGAGCGGCCGAUGGCAGAUUAGGUAGUUGGUGGGAUAAAAGCUUACCAAGCCGACGAUCUGUAGCUGGUCUGAGAGGAUGAUCAGCCACACUGGGACUGAGACACGGCCCAGACUCCUACGGGAGGCAGCAGUGGGGAAUUUUGGACAAUGGGCGCAAGCCUGAUCCAGCCAUGCCGCGUGCAGGAUGAAGGCCUUCGGGUUGUAAACUGCUUUUGUACGGAACGAAAAGCCUUCUUUUAAUACAGGAGGGUCAUGACGGUACCGUAAGAAUAAGCACCGGCUAACUACGUG